GGCUACGUAGCUCAGCUGGUUAGAGCACAUCACUCAUAAUGAUGGGGUCACAGGUUCGAAUCGUAGCCACCA
rnacentral:tRNA from 1 species